rnacentral:rRNA from 1 species
GAUGAACGCUGGCGGCGUGCCUAAUACAUGCGAGUCGAGCGAACAGACGAGGAGCUUGCUCCUCUGACGUUAGCGGCGGACGGGUGAGUAACACGUGGAUAACCUACCUAUAAGACUGGGAUAACUUCGGGAAACCGGAGCUAAUACCGGAUAAUAUAUUGAACCGCAUGGUUCAAUAGUGAAAGACGGUUUUGCUGUCACUUAUAGAUGGAUCCGCGCCGCAUUAGCUAGUUGGUAAGGUAACGGCUUACCAAGGCGACGAUGCGUAGCCGACCUGAGAGGGUGAUCGGCCACACUGGAACUGAGACACGGUCCAGACUCCUACGGGAGGCAGCAGUAGGGAAUCUUCCGCAAUGGGCGAAAGCCUGACGGAGCAACGCCGCGUGAGUGAUGAAGGCCUUCGGAUCGUAAAACUCUGUUAUUAGGGAAGAACAAAUGUGUAAGUAACUAUGCACGUCUUGACGGUACCUAAUCAGAAAGCCACGGCUAACUACGUG